UACAGAGGGGGCAAAUGUUGUUCGGAAUCACUGGGCGUAAAGGGAGCGUAGGCGGGUUCUUAAGUUAGGUGUUUAAUCCCGGGGCCCAACCCCGGACCGGCACUUAAAACUGGGAAUCUUGAAUAGUGGAGAGGUCGGUGGAAUUGGAGGUGUAGCGGUGGAAUGCGUAGAGAUCUCCAAGAACACCAGUUGCGAAGGCGGCCGACUGGACACAUAUUGACGCUGAGGCUCGAAAGCAUGGGGAGCAAACAGG
rnacentral:rRNA from 1 species